AGCAUGUGGUUUUAAUUUGAAGCAACGCGAAGAACCUUUACCAGGUCUUGACAUCCUCUGAAAACCCUAGAGAUAGGGCUUCUCCUUCGGGAGCAGAGUGACAGGUGGUGCAUGAUUGUCGUCAGCUCGUGUCGUGAGAUGUUGGGUUAAGUCCCGCAACGAGCGCAACCCUUGAUCUUAGUUGCCAUCAUUAAGUUGGGCACUCUAAGGUGACUGCCGGUGACAAACCGGAGGAAGGUGGGGAUGACGUCAAAUCAUCAUGCCCCUUAUGACCUGGGCUACACACGUGCUACAAUGGACGGUACAAAGAGCUGCAAGACCGCGAGGUGGAGCUAAUCUCAUAAAACCGUUCUCAGUUCGGAUUGUAGGCUGCAACUCGCCUACAUGAAGCUGGAAUCGCUAGUAAUCGCGGAUCAGCAUGCCGCGGUGAAUACGUUCCCGGGCCUUGUACACACCGCCCGUCACACCACGAGAGUUUGUAACAUCCGAAGUCGGUGGGGUAACCUUUUUGGAGCCAGCCGCCUAAGGUGGGCCAGAUGAUUGGGGGGAAGUCGUAGACAAGGUGCCUG
rnacentral:rRNA from 1 species